AACUUCAUCGCAGUUGGUAGAGCGCGGCACUAGUACUCUCAGUAAUGCCGAGGUCUUGAGUUCGACUCUCAACGGAGGCA